rnacentral:rRNA from 1 species
UACGGGGGUGGCAAGCGUUGUUCGGAAUUACUGGGCGUAAAGGGCUCGUAGGCGGCCAACUAAGUCAGACGUGAAAUCCCCAGGCUCAACCUGGGAACUGCGUCUGAUACUGGAUGGCUUGAAUCCGGGAGAGGGAUGCAGAAUUCCAGGUGUAGCGGUGAAAUGCGUAGAUAUCGCUUGGAACGCCAACGGUGAAAACAGCUCGCUGGGGGUGUGCUGACGCUGAGACACGAAAGCCAGGGGAGCGAACGGG